CAAUGAGGACUUAUCACCAUGGGGGAUUUAGUACUCCUUUAACUGUUACCUUUCUAUUUUUCAUAAGAAAAUUAAUUUGUCCCCUUGCACCAUAUCACAAAGUUUUAAACAGUCACAUUACCAUAUAGCUUGAUUUUUCUCAAGUAGCAUUAGACCAGCAAAGAUUUCUAACAUCAAUUGUCAGUGUCACCUUAAUUAGUGCACAGACUGUCCUUAUCAUUUCCCUGGGGUUAAGAUUCUAGAGGUCCCAUCAUUUGGCAACAAGUGUCCUAACACAACUGAAGAAGUGCAACAUACUGGAUCACAUGACUGUUCUACAUCCUGAGAGAGGAAACAGCUUAUAUGGGCUGAGUACAGGGGCUGUGCUUACUGCUCACUGUGACAUGAUGACUUCUACUGCUCCUCUCCUCUUGUCUUUAGCUUUUCUGUUUGCUGGCAUUUAUGGACAGACUGUUCAGCAACCCCUUAGCCAACUGUCUGUGAUACAGGGGGAAUAUUUACAGCUCAACUGCACACACUCUGGGGCUAAUUAUCUUUACUGGUAUGUCCAGUAUCCUAAUAAAGCUCUGGAAUUGUUGGUUAAUAAUUUGGGGCAAAAGUCAAAUGGGGAAUUUACAGUCGAAGUACAGAAGAAAGAUUUCCAUCUUUUUAAACGAGAAGCCAAAGUGACUGACUCUGCCGUCUAUUUCUGUGCUGCAAGUGACACAGUUCCACAGUCAGACCUGACACCUGUCUCAUAACUCCCCAUGUCUUUAGUUUAUCAGCCUGCCUAUUCUAAUUCUGGCCUUGAAACUGACAAUUCAGUCUGGUUCUCAGUAUCACUGAACCCAGCAAACAAAAGCCAAAUUGAAACUUCAAUGAUACUGCCAUUUUUAUUUUCUAUUGUUAUCCUGUUUAUGUCCUCAACUAUUCAUCUUCCAUUCUGACUUCCACUAUUUUAUAUGGUUGCUAGCAUAAUUAAGUUUUUGCAAGCCCAUUGGAGAUGAGAUGAAAUUACAAGCCUUAUAAUGAAAGCUCUACAUAAUUGCAAAAGUGUUUACAGUAACGUAACUGGAGGGGGGCAGGCCCUGGUGCGGGAUGAGCCGCCGGGCCCCCGCCCCCUGCAUACCUGAUUAUUUUACCCAAAAUCGGCCGAUGCGGCAGAAAAUCGGCAGUGAGCGAGCUGACGGGGGGCCCUGAGGGGGUGCGGGCCCUGGCCCAAUUGCACCCCCUGCUCCCCCGGUAGUGUUUAAACUAUACUAAGGGUCGGAUUUAUCAAGGGUCGAAGUGAAUUCGAGGGAA